rnacentral:tRNA from 1 species
GCCGCAGUGGCUCAAGGGUCGAGCGCUCCCUUCGUGAGGGAGAGGAUGCCGGUUCGAUUCCGGCCCGCGGCU